CAGCAGCCGCGGUAAUACGAAGGGUGCAAGCGUUAAUCGGAAUUACUGGGCGUAAAGCGUGCGUAGGCGGUUUGUUAAGUCUGUUGUGAAAUCCCCGGGCUCAACCUGGGAAUGGCAAUGGAUACUGGCAAGCUAGAGUGUGUCAGAGGAUGGUGGAAUUCCCGGUGUAGCGGUGAAAUGCGUAGAGAUCGGGAGGAACAUCAGUGGCGAAGGCGGCCAUUUGGGACAACACUGACGCUGAGGCACGAAAGCGUGGGGAGCAAACAGGAUUAGAUACCCCAGUAGUCCCUGUCUCUUAUAC
rnacentral:rRNA from 1 species